GGCGAGAUGGCCGAGCGGUUAAGGCGCUGUCUUAAGGUAAACGAAAAUUCGUCAACCGGCAGUCCGAAAGGGCGUGGGUUCGAGUCCCACUCUCGUCA
rnacentral:tRNA from 1 species